CUCGAGUUUUAGCACGUGACACCCGGCCGUGGGGGAGGCGAGACUGGAGGCGGAGGCUAAAGCUAGGGGAAGUGGUGUGGUUUCUGAAUCGAGACACGAGUUAACGCUGAAAGUCCUGAAUUGGAGGGGGCGCUUUUUAAAAGUACCGACAAGGGCAUCUUUUGUUCCAGGAACUGAAGGUAUGACCCACCCUGACUCCAGGAGACCAUAAGCAGUUCUACCUUUGUUCCUCAGAAGGACUGCAAGCAACUCAAGAUGAUAUCUGAGCCACUGUACUCCAGGGUGAGAAGAUCUCUACCCAGGACACAGCUAAAGACCACCCCCCAGGACAAGAAUGCUGAAGUCAUUUCUUUUAAUCCAAUUGACUUUUUCCAGAAUUUCAAAGCCCCCUCACCACACCUUGUUUAUUCCCUUCUAUAAAAACCUU